UAGUCCACGCCCUAAACGAUGAGUGCUAAAAGUGGGUUAUUUUACCUGCUUUAAAGCUAACGCGUUAAGCACUCCGCCUGGGGACUACGGUCGCAAGACUAAAACUCAAAGGAAUUGACGGGGAUUCGCACAAGCGGUGGAGUAUGUGGUUUAAUUCGAUGCAACGCGAAGAACCUUACCACACUUUGACAUGUAAAUCGUCGCUCUGUGAAGGCAGAGCUUCAGUUCGGCUGGAUUUAACACAGGUGUUGCAUGGCUGUCGUCAGCUCGUGCCGUGAGGUGUUGGGUUAAGUCCCGCAACGAGCGCAACCCUCAUCCUUAGUUGCCAGCGGUUCGGCCGGGAACUUUAAGGAAACUGCCAGUGACAAACUGGAGGAAGGUGGGGAUAACGUCAAGUCAUCAUGGCCCUUAUAGUGUGGGCUACACACGUACUACAAUGGUUGCUACAGCGAGCUAAGCUAAGCCGCAAGGUCAAGCAAAUCUCUUAAAAGCAGCCCCAGUACAGAUUGCUCU
rnacentral:rRNA from 1 species